UACGGAGGGUGCAAGCGUUGUCCGGAUUCAUUGGGUUUAAAGGGUGCGUAGGCGGGUUAUUAAGUCAGUGGUGAAAGCCUACAGCUUAACUGUAGAACUGCCAUUGAUACUGAUGAUCUUGAGUAUGAUUGAGGUGGGCGGAAUGUGUCAUGUAGCGGUGAAAUGCUUAGAUAUGACACAGAACACCGAUUGCGAAGGCAGCUCACUAAUCAUAACUGACGCUGAUGCACGAAAAGCGUGGGGGAGCGAAACAAGGAU
rnacentral:rRNA from 1 species